UACGGGGGGGGCAAGCGUUGUUCGGAAUUACUGGGCGUAAAGGGCUCGUAGGUGGCCAACUAAGUCAGACGUGAAAUCCCUCGGCUUAACCGGGGAACUGCGUCUGAUACUGGAUGGCUUGAGUGUGGGAGAGGGAUGCGGAAUUUCAGGUGUAGCGGUGAAAUGCGUAGAUAUCUGGAGGAACACCGGUGGCGAAGGCGGCAUCCUGGACCGACACUGACGCUGAGGCGCGAAAGCUAGGGUAGCAAACGGG
rnacentral:rRNA from 1 species